GUUUGGCACCUCGAUGUCGGCUCAUCUCAUCCUGGGGCUGUAGUCGGUCCCAAGGGUAUGGCUGUUCGCCAUUUAAAGAGGUACGUGAGCUGGGUUUAAAACGUCGUGAGACAGUUUGGUCCCUAUCUGCCGUGGGCGUUGGAAAUUUGAAGGGGGCUGUUCCUAGUACGAGAGGACCGGAAUGGACGUAUCUCUGGUGUACCGGUUGUCACGCCAGUGGCAUUGCCGGGUAGCUAAAUACGGAAGAGAUAAACGCUGAAAGCAUCUAAGCGUGAAACUUGCCUUAAGAUAAGAUUUCCCUGAGGACUUGAUCCUCCUGAAGGGCCGUUGAAGACCACGACGUUGAUAGGCUGG
rnacentral:rRNA from 1 species